rnacentral:rRNA from 1 species
UUGGAGGGCAAGUCUGGUGCCAGCAGCCGCGGUAAUUCCAGCUCCAAUAGCGUAUAUUAAAGCUGUUGCAGUUAAAAAGCUCGUAGUUGAAUUUCGAGAUCAGUACGCUGGUCGUGCCUUCGGUAUGCACUGGUGUCACUGGUUUCUCCCUUCUGAAGAACCGUCAUGUCAUCAAGUUGGUGUGGCGGGGAAUCAGGACUGUUACUUUGAAAAAAUUAGAGUGUUUAAAGCAGGCUCGCGCUUGAAUACAUUAGCAUGGAAUAAUGAAAUAGGACGUUUGACCCUAUUUUGUUGGUUUCUAGGAUCGACGUAAUGAUUAAUAGGGAUAGUUGGGGGCAUUAGUAUUCAAUUGUCAGAGGUGAAAUUCUUGGAUUUAUUGAAGACUAACUACUGCGAAAGCAUUUGCCAAGGAUGUUUUCAUUAAUCAAGAACGAAAGUUAGGGGAUCGAAGACGAUCAGAUACCGUCGUAGUCUUAACCAUAAACUAUGCCGACUAGGGAUCGGAUGAUGUUAAUUUUUCUUGACUCGUUCGGCGCCUUACGGGAAAC